UAUUUUUUAGUCUAACAAAUCAGAAGUUCCUUUAAAUUUGUUUUAUUAAAUACUCCAGCCCAAAGCGGACAAUACUUCAAAAAAACGGUUCAGUGGACUUGAGGUUGGAACAUAACAAAAAAAAUAUGCACAAAAACAGAAAAGGAGAUAUCUUCGUACAAACUGACCUGGAUCGACAUUUGAUUUGUUGAGCUACAUCCCUUGUUGUUUAGCAUAACUUGUGAGUUCACAUUUGGCAUUGGAUCCUUUAACUUAGGCAUUUGAUCCUUUAACUUAGAGGCUGAAGCCGAUUCCACGGUUUCCAUUAGUCCUGCUGUUCCACUAGCAUUUAAUUCUACAGCUGAUGAGUUCAUAACAGGCUCUCCGGGAUAAGAAAACAUUGAAGCACUUGGCAUUGGCAUGUGCAGUCCCUGACCAGCUUGAAG
rnacentral:lncRNA from 1 species